GAUGAACGCUGGCGGCGUGCCUAAUACAUGCAAGUCGAGCGAACGGACGAGAAGCUUGCUUCUCUGAUGUUAGCGGCGGACGGGUGAGUAACACGUGGAUAACCUACCUAUAAGACUGGGAUAACUUCGGGAAACCGGAGCUAAUACCGGAUGAUAUUUUGAACCGCAUGGUUCAAAAGUGAAAGACGGUCUUGCCGUCACUUAUAGAUGGAUCCGCGCUGCAUUAGCUAGUUGGUAAGGUAACGGCUUACCAAGGCAACGAUGCAUAGCCGACCUGAGAGGGUGAUCGGCCACACUGGAACUGAGACACGGUCCAGACUCCUACGGGAGGCAGCAGUAGGGAAUCUUCCGCAAUGGGCGAAAGCCUGACGGAGCAACGCCGCGUGAGUGAUGAAGGUCUUCGGAUCGUAAAACUCUGUUAUUAGGGAAGAACAUAUGUGUAAGUAACUGCGCACAUCUUGACGGUACCUAAUCAGAAAGCCACGGCUAACUACGUG
rnacentral:rRNA from 1 species